rnacentral:rRNA from 1 species
UACGGGGGGGGCAAGCGUUGUUCGGAUUCACUGGGCGUAAAGGGUGCGUAGGCGGCGAGGUAAGUCGGAUGUGAAAGCUCGGAGCUCAACUCCGAAAUGGCAUUGGAAACUACCUUGCUCGAGGGUUGGAGGGGGGACUGGAAUACUUGGUGUAGCAGUGAAAUGCGUAGAUAUCAAGUGGAACACCAGUGGCGAAGGCGAGUCCCUGGACAACUCCUGACACUGAGGCACGAAAGCUAGGGGAGCAAACAGG